AAACGACUCUCGGCAACGGAUAUCUCGGCUCUCGCAUCGAUGAAGAACGUAGCGAAAUGCGAUACAUGGUGUGAAUUGCAGAAUCCCGUGAACCAUCGAGUCUUUGAACGCAAGUUGCGCCCGACGCCUUCUGGCCGAGGGCACGUCUGCCUGGGUGUCACGC
rnacentral:rRNA from 1 species